rnacentral:rRNA from 1 species
UACGAAGGGUGCAAGCGUUAAUCGGAUUUACUGGGCGUAAAGCGCGCGUAGGUGGCCAAUUAAGUCAAAUGUGAAAUCCCCGAGCUUAACUUGGGAAUUGCAUUCGAUACUGGGAAAGCUAGAGUAUGGGAGAGGAUGGUAGAAUUCCAGGUGUAGCGGUGAAAUGCGUAGAGAUCUGGAGGAAUACCGAUGGCGAAGGCAGCCAUCUGGCCUAAUACUGACGCUGAGGUACGAAAGCAUGGGGAGCAAACAGG